GGGCCCGCACAAGCGGUGGAGCAUGUGGUUUAAUUCGUCAUUAACCGAAGAACCUUACCAGGGUUUGACAUCCACUGUAAGUCCAUGAAAGUGGCACCCCUUGUAGCAAUACAAGCAGUGAGACAGGUGUUGCAUGGCUGUCGUCAGCUCGUGUCGUGAGAUGUUGGGUUAAGUCCCGCAACGAGCGCAACCCUCAUCAGAUGUUGCCAGCGUAAAGUCGGGAACUCUUCUGAAACUGCCCGUGUAAGCGGGAGGAAGGUGGGGAUGACGUCAAGUCGGCAUGGCCCUUACGCCCUGGGCUACACACAUGCUACAAUGGUCGUUAACAAAGGGAAGCAAAGCGGCGACGCCGAGCAAAUCUCAAAAAUACGGCCUCAGUUCGGAUUGCAGUCUGCAACUCGACUGCAUGAAGUCGGAAUCGCUAGUAACCGCAGGUCAGCUAAACUGCGGUGAAUACGUUCCCGGGCCUU
rnacentral:rRNA from 1 species